AUGGCAAAAACCACACGAUUGGAGGCCGAGAUCCACGACACGGGGUCUGAGACAUCCCAACCUCUUCAGUCCUUCAAGAUCGAUGAGCCUCCUGAUACAGCUGCCGUGCCCGCCAAGCCUGCGCCAGCCAAGCCUGCACCCCCAGCUACACCCGGAGCACCGAACUCCCCAGCAGAAUCCCGCCUGUUUAAUAACUGCUGGAGCUGUCGCCUGCUUUCUGGGUUGGGGUUGCUGGGGGCGGGAGGAUACAUGUACUUGGUGGCACGGAGGCGCAUGAAGAUGGGAUAUCCCCCGAGUCCAGGGAGUAUUACUCAGCAUCGGCAUCAGUAUUGCCACCUGGGGUAUCGUUAUCAUGGCAGAUCCCAAAGGGAAGGCCUACCGCAUUGCUUGAAAGUACCACCAGUCAAUUUGUCUUCUCCUGUUCCUGUCCCCUUGACACACAGAGCAGACAUGGA